CCUUCUCCUCCUAUACCCUUCCUUUUUUCUAAUUUUCCUUUUUUUCCCCUUACUUUUUCCAUCUCGCAUUUUAUAUGAAUUUCCUGUUAUGUUAUUUUACGAAAGGUAUGGUUUUUUUGGCUAAGUGGGUCUCUAUCUUCUAUGCAAGCAGGCAAGACACCAGAGAUGUGAACGACAGCCCCAUCCAAUCACAUUCCUCGUAGAACAAAAAACAAUAGAUUAAAUCACAUGAUUACCUUAUUUAACUCCCGCCAGCCUCCUUGAGAAAUCCAACAACUGCAAAAAGUUCAUGAUAUAUAUGAGUUUCCAGUGUGAGGCUGUGUAUAGAUUAAUCAGAAUCAAUCACCCAGCCAUACCUCACCUGAAUAAAAAUUUAAACAAACUAACACAAUCCAUUGCGUAGGUUAUUGCUAUGGAAAUUACACGUAACUAAUACUACCUACCUGCAAACUGUAUCCGACCAUCCCUUGAGAUCAUUUCCCAUAUCUUUAAAAGUCUAGAGAAAUGGAAAAUUACGUCAAUAAUCUUAUUCUUUUCAUUAAAAGUGGAAAUUAACGCAAAAUACUCGUAAAAUAAGAUGGCUGUAUAAGUGGGACCUGAAAAGAGAAUGUGGAUGGAUGUGUGGGGGACUAUAUGGGAAUGAAGGAAUCGGGAACUGUGUACGGUUUUCUGCCUUCACCUCCUCCUCCAUAUCUCCCUACAAAAGGAACUCCAACAAAAGAAAAA
rnacentral:lncRNA from 1 species